GGACGUCCAAGCGUCCUGGAGGGGACUGUGGGAUGAUCUUGAGCCCGGAACGAGACUGGGAAUCUCGGAGUACGGGCUUGAGAAAGGUUUGACCACAAAUGUCCCAGAGAUAGUUAGACCGGGUAUCGGUAUUGGAUGUUUGGGACCAGUGCUUUGUUCCUGGAGCGUAACACGAGUAGGAAGGGGGCUGCCCAAGAGCCCCAGAGAAUGCUGUGAGGUGGGCAUCGGUACUGGUAGCUUGGAACCGGUACUAUUGGCCCAAUCACAAGCGCUCAACUGUGCUGGAGGACGUCCAAGCGUCCUGGAGGGGACUGUGGGAUGAUCUUGAGCCCGGAACGAGACUGGGAAUCUCGGAGUACGGGCUUGAGAAAGGUUUGAUCACAAAUGUCCCAGAGAUAGUUAGACCGGGUAUCGGUAUUGGAUGUUUGGGACCAGUGCUUUGUUCCUGGAUCGUAACACGAGUAGGAAGGGGGCUGCCCAAGAGCCCCAGAGAAUGCUGUGAGGUGGGCAUCGGUACUGGUAGCUUGGAACCGGUACUAUUGGCCCAAUCACAAGCGCUCAACUGUGGUGGAGGACGUCCAAGCGUUCUGGAGGGGACUGUGGGAUGAUCUUGAGCCCGGAACGAGACUGGGAAUCUCGGAGUACGGGCUUGAGAAAGGUUUGAUCACAAAUGUCCCAGAGAUAGUUAGACUGGGUAUCGGUAUUGGAUGUUUGGGACCAGUGCUUUGUUCCUGGAUCGUAACACGAGUAGGAAGGGGGCUGCCCAAGAGCCCCAGAGAAUGCUGUGAGGUGGGCAUCGGUACUGGUAGCUUGGAACCGGUACUAUUGGCCCAAUCACAAGCGCUCAACUGUGGUGUGGGACGUCCAAGCGUUCUGGAGGGGACUGUGGGAUGAUCUUGAGCCCGGAACGAGACUGGGAAUCUCGGAGUACGGGCUUGAGAAAGGUUUGAUCACAAAUGUCCCAGAGAUAGUUAGACCGGGUAUCGGUAUUGGAUGUUUGGGACCAGUGCUUUGUUCCUGGAUCGUAACACGAGUAGGAAGGGGGCUGCCCAAGAGCCCCAGAGAAUGCUGUGAGGUGGGCAUCGGUACUGGUAGCUUGGAACCGGUACUAUUGGCCCAAUCACAAGCGCUCAACUGUGAUGGGGGACGUCCAAGCGUACUGGAGGGGACUGUGGGAUGAUCUUGAGCCCGGAACGAGACUGGGAAUCUCGGAGUUCGGGCUUGAGAAUGCUACCCUAAGGCCCUUGAGUUUGCUCCUGAAGUGGGCAUCGGUACUGGUGGCUUGGAUCUGGUACUAUUGGCCCAAUCAGGAGGAUUUAGUAAGGAGAGAUUUCCAAGCGUCUAAAAGGGGGACAGUGUUUUUGUGUUGCAGUGCUUGUUUUCGUUACUGGUACUGUGGACACGGAAACUGUAUUCCAGUAACCGGGAAAAAGGUUGGUGUUUACCUUAUACCUGGAGUUAUACUCAGUUUGAGUUCAAAAAUAUAACACAAUUAUAAAAAAUACAAAAAAAAGAAGAGAUGGUAGGAGUAGAGGACGAAAAGAAAAAUAAUUAAUUAGGUUUCACAUGUGAGUUAAUGUUUGACGCAGAAAGUACAAAUACAAUGUAAAAGAUAGUUAUAAUAUAUUUUACAAAUCAUUCCGUUGCAAAUUCACAUCAAUGUUAACAAAUAUAAAAAUCAUCAAAUGACGAUGUAUUAGAUGAUUGGCGGUGUUCUCGUAAAUCCAGCGUUUGCCUAUUCCGUUGUUCUCGUAAAUUUAAAUUCAUCGCAAGUUGAUUAUGAUUUAGGAGUAUUUUCCCAUCAGACAUUAAGUGCCAUCAAGUACCAGAUUAUACCUCAUUUAUUUUUUACAAAAGUUCUAGCAUACAUCAAAACCAACACAUAACUAAGCGAAUAUGGAAGUAAGUUGCACGAGCCACAUGAACUGUUGUUCAUAAUAGAUAGAGAUAGAGUUUCAAAAAUCAAUUAAAGUAUAGGGAAAAUAGUAAUGUGAUAAUGAAAGCAAUUCGGUUCAAACAAGAAGUUUGUAAAUCAAUAUUGAAGAUUAGAAAAUAAUUAAGUAUCAAAGAUCAUGUUGCCGGUGAUACAGUUUGCAGCAGAAAGGCCUGAUAGAAACUUGUUGAAAUAUAACAACCGUACACAUUUUGAGCAGAGAAAAUCCAUCAUCGAUCUCCCGGAUUUGUGCUAGGUUUCCCAACUGAUUUCUCUAUAGAUUCUGACCAUGUUUUUAAGUGAAACAUAACAUUAGAGUCUUAUAAAAUAGAGACAUAUAUAAUGGGCCGGUCCCGUGAACCAGUCGUCAACUCGUACGUUUCAAUGGUAUGCUUGUGAUGGGUUCAAGCCUAGAAUGGACCCCGGUUCCCCCGGUGGCAACGACCAACUAUUCGACUAAGUGGUACCUGUAUAAACCUUGAAAACCUAUAUAAUCUAGCGUGUCCGCAUAAAACGCUACGCCAAAUGGAGGAAGAAGAAGAACAAUAGAGCAAAGAAACAGAGCAUGAAUGUCAACUACAAUCGCGCCAACAUGGGUGCUGGUGGAUAUGGUGCAUCGAAUGUUAUGAAUGAAAUGAUCGAAAGUCGUUGGACAGUUGCGAAGCUGCGAUGAACUCGAGUGAUUUUGUAGCAGAAUAACAAGCCAAUUGGAUUCGAAAACGAAAUCCAGACUUUGCUUUAUAAACGAUGACGAAGUAGUAAUACAUGAACAUACACACAUCAACAUCACCCAGCAUCGUAUUGUAAGCGGAAAGGGGAAUGAUGAUGGUUUUUUCGAAACAGCAAACUAAUGCUCACAUCACAUCCAUUUAAAGAAUGACAACAUUGGGUACCCAACAUGGUUGUAUGACAGUUUUGGAUGAACUUUGUUCGUUGGACUUGUUCACUAUAAGACCAACUGACUGACUGAAAUUUCUGCUGUGCCCCAUGAGCUCAAGAUGGAGUAAUACCCUCUAGCGGAGCCUUCCGCCGGCAUAUUAUUCUCAACGGCCACGAAGACUGGCCACGCAGUAUUGCUAUCACCGGCUAUGAUCGAUGCCUAAUAACUUCAACAAUCUUUGGUCAACAUGUUGGACUUCGGGAAACAAAUGUUGAAAUAGUUGCGCUUUGAGUUUAGAAUUCGUCAAAAAAGAUUCCUUUGAUUAUCAAAAAA